CCUCCCGGAAGCAGGCCUGGGCGGAUGUCUCCGGCGCGUCCGUGCACGGGGCUGAGGGCCGCGGUGGCUGCCAGCAUAGGGUUGAGCGAGGGGCCGGGGGGCUCCGCCCGGAGCGGGCGCCUUCUCCGUCCGCCGAGCCCCGCUCCGGCGGCGCCGGGGGCCCGGCUGUUCCGGCUCCCGGGGAGCGGGGCCGUGCGGGCCGCAAACCCGGAGCGCGCCGGCUGGACCGAGGCGCUGCGGGCCGCCGUGGCCGAGCUGCGCGCCGGCGCCGUGGUGGCCGUCCCCACCGAUACGCUGUACGGCCUGGCCUGCUCGGCGAGCUGCUCGGAGGCACUGGGCGUCGUGUACCGCGUCAAGGGCCGCAGCGAGACCAAGCCGCUGGCCGUGUGCCUGGGCCGCGUGGCCGACGUCUACAGGUACUGCCGUGUGAGAGUACCUGAGGGGCUCCUGAACGACCUGCUGCCAGGACCAGUGACCCUGGUGAUGGAACGCUCGGAGGAGCUCAACAAGGACCUGAACCCCUUCACUCCUCUUGUAGGCAUCCGGAUUCCUGACCACGCCUUCAUGCAGGACUUGGCCCAGGUGUUUGGGGGACCGCUUGCUCUCACCAGCGCCAACCUCAGCUCCCAGACCAGCUCUCUGAAUGUUGAGGUGCCCUGUGUGCGGUAUGACAUCAUUGCAGAUGCCAGAGGUGGUGUCCAUGCUCUUCCUCUCCCUCUUCUCAGGAAUUUCAGGACCUCUGGCCUCGCUUGUCCUUGGUCAUUGAUGGGGGACCAAUUGGGGAUGACCAGAGCCCUGAGUGUCGACUAGGCUCAACUGUGGUUGACUUGUCUGUGCCUGGAGAGUUUGGCAUCAUUCGUCCGGGUUGUGCCCUAGAAAGUACUUCGGCCAUCCUCCAGAAGUAUGGGCUGCUCCCCUUGCGUGGAUCCUGCUUGUGAAACUCUGGAGAAGGGAGGGCGCAAGGACUGGUGCUGGACACUAUGUGUCCGACUGCUGGUGGCUGGCAAGGCCUCAUUGGCAGAGGCCGCUGGGGCUACAGUGUUACUAGUCUGACCUUUUAAGGCAAAGUUUCUUUCUGAACACUACAGACCAGGCCUCAGAAGCUGCUGGUUAAGCCUCACACCUGGUUGGGGAGGUUAUAUUUAUUUAUAAUUUCAUAUAUGAGCCAAAAGCUGAAUAGAGGUUUUAAGAGUAUUCCGAGGAUGGCCUUGUUCUGAUAAGUUUUUUCGAUCUUUGAAAAAUAAAUAACAGAUUUGGAAUCUAGUGAGAGCUUCUCUGGUGGGUAGUGGCACUUAAGGUCCAAAUCAACUAACACAUUGGUUGGUGCUUUUCAAAAGUCUCAAGUGACCAAGUGCAUGAGUUUUAUGCUUCUGAAGCUGGAACCAGUUUAGGACAAAAAUAAAAACUGUAGAGCCAUCGACCAAACACUGCUUCCUCUGAACCAGGGGCUGGUUCUUUGCUGUAAUUGCCCGGCGGAGAGUCACCAUUUUGGUCUAAUGGUGGGAGGUAAGCUCAGCUGGCACAGGGGGUGGGGGGUGGGGUCCAAAUGAAGGAACAUUGGAAAACAAAUCGCUACUGUCCUGUCCAGCCACUUUUUUCUUAUUUAUUCGUAAUAUAAAUUAUAGUGAAUUAUACCUACAACACCUUUAUUUAAAUGCAGUGUCUACUCAGCAGCCUUUAUCUUUAUUCAUGUGUAUACAAGUGUUAAAAACAUACUUACUAUUGGGCAUUUGAACUUUGUUUUUUCUUUAAUAGAACAAAUGCUGUUAAACAUCUUUGUGAAUGUUUUAUUUUCCUUCUUUUGAAUUAUUUCCUUGGGGUAGGAUUACUGGGUCCAAGUGUGUGGCCAUUAUCUUGGCUCUUGAUAGAGGUUAGCCUUCAAAAGAACUGAAUCAAGUUGCACUGCCAUCAGCAGUGUGUGAGAAUUACUGCCCCUGCCCCCCCCCCCCCCCGCUUCUGGCCAUACUUUUACUAUUUUUAAAAAUAUGCAUAUGUGAACUGAAGCCUCAGUGUCACUCCCUUGUAAAUUAUUCCAGGUCAUCAUCUAGCCCUUUUUACCUGUCCCUGCCUGCCUUGGUUUCCCCAACUGAGUCACAGCAAGGGGACCAGGCCUGCCCCAUCCGUUGGUGGGAUUUAGUACCUGUUAACCUAACUGGAGCUGGGAGUCCUUGUGACCAGUAGGGCUCACUUCCUCCCCUCUCCCCUCACACCCCAGUUCUCAGAACUAGGAUUCAGUCUGAGCCCAUAAACUUCUCAAUACGGUCGUUUCCAAUGCACAUAUUUUCAAGUAGAUCCUAAGAAUUUUUCCAAGAGGGUGUCCCAGGGCCUGCUUUGAGGGUCCCUGCAAUUAGCAUAUUCGUUUAUUUGUAAAUAAGCACUGGAUUGUUAAAUAUUCCCUCUAGAAAUCUUGUUGAAACUAAUUUCUUAAGCAAACUCGACUUCGUUGUGCUAACCCUGUAGCCAGCCCAUCCCAUAUGUCAAUUUGUCACAGAAUCUGAGGAGUUAAGAGUUUGUGGUCCUGAAGGGAUCAAAAGGAAAGCUGAUUUGAGAAUAGGAACAACACGUCAUUUUUAAUACAAAUCACAGUCGCACUGAAAAUGGCUCCAGUGAGUGGGCCUCAUUCAGUUCAGGCAGCUAAAGGGAGGGGGGUGUCCUAGUCCUCCCCCUGGAGCUAAAUGUUUACCUAGGAAAACGGAGGCUCUGGAGCGCAGAGGUAUUUUCUUCGAGGAAAAAGAACUGAACUCCCAGCACUGGGCAAAACAGCAAAAAGGAAAAACUUGUAGCUGUGCUUAGGCACUAGCUACAAGGCCACACCAAAUGAGGAAAGCUGGCUCCUGUAAGCUUCGGAAGACAGGAGCCAUCCCUGGUCGAGUUUUCCCCCAGCACCUGGCACGCGGUAAGGUGCUCGUGGAGUAUGUGUUGAAUGAAUGUGUGAGUGCUCAGGAUUAUCUCCUGAUAAUUGGGUUCGGGAAUCUACUGGGAAGAGCUUAAACUGAGAGUGUUCCCUUUUAGAAAGUCUUAAAUGUGGUUCCCUAACUUGGGGAAGACAGAUGACGUGGGAGGGAGGCCUGGAGAGGACGCAGGUUGGCAGAGAGCAGGGUGCAUGCUAGCCCAGAGCCCUGACACCCUUCUAAGACCAGUGACUUGGCGACUCCAGAACACCAACCAGCUGAGCUCCAGGCUAGACGGGAUUGUCUUAAAGUGUUCUCACUGAGGAUGUGGGGCUGCCUUGGGCUAAGCCCAGCCACCGGCCAGCCCCUGGGGCUCCCUCUCUGGAACACCACCUAGUUUCCUGUCCCUGCAGGGCACUCUGGCACCCACCUGCCUCAGAAGCACUCAGCCGCUGACUCGGGAGCGAGUGCCGAGCCCCACGUGGUGACGUCUUCCAGUGAGGCUGGGACGGCAGCACCUCCCGCCCCUGCCUGCAGGCCCCUCACAUCAGCCACUGCUCCUUCUCUUUGAUGAAGUGCUCUGCCCAGCGGCGCGUCAGCUCUAGGUACAGGCUGGGCUGAUGAGGCAGGUAGUCCAAAUACAGCCGAGUCGGUGUCUUCUUGGGAAUGGCCUUCUCAAUCUGGGUGCCCUCGUGCCACUCGUUGAAGGAGGUGAUGGAGACGAUCUCGGGCCUCACGGUCAGGGCUGCCUGCAGGGCCGUCUCAUAGUACUUGCCGUUGACCCUGUUCCGCGUACUGUGGUUGUUCCAGGGCCGGAUGCUGGUGUCAAUGUAGCCAGGCCCCACGCUGGGAAUGAACAUGAGGUUGUUGGCAUCGCAGAAGUUCUUCACAGCUUUCCAGUUCUGAUGGGAGGAGCCGAAGGAGAAACCAUUGGAGGCAAAGUAGGUGUACAUGCCAUCAAAUCCGGCGGCCAGGAUGUCAUGGGUGUGGCCCUCCUCCACCAGCAGCGCUAUGAAGACCCCAUCGUAGGGGGUGUUGCGGAUUGAGUGGGGCCCGUUCGGUGUCAGGAGGUGGGCCCAGGCCUCAGGGGAUGUCAGGUAGGAGUCAUAGAUAUAAAAGAGUGGGAGGCUCUUACCCAUGCUGUUCUUAUAGCGGUAAAAUGCACCAUGAGAGCCAUACCUGAGGAGCAGGAGGAAGAAGAGGCUGAGCCGGCAGCCUAAGAGAAAAGAAGCCAGCGCAGCCGGAGGGCUGGCCAUGAGUGAGAUCUUUCCUGAUGUCCAAGCACGAUUUUGAGUCCACUUGGACUCCACAGUUGGACUCAUCAUGCCUCUAAGCAAGAACCCAGUUCCCUCCCACCCUCCCCCGAGCCUUGUCAUUCCUCUAUUUAAGCCUCACUUCCCUGCCCCAGGCCGAGCCACCACCAUCUCCUAUCUGGACUGUACCGACAGCCACCUAACUGGUCUCCAGGCUCCCACUUCCACCUCCCUAUAACCCAGUCUCUUUUUAAAGCGUAAAUCAGAUCUGACUGCUCCUUACCGGAGACCAGCAAGGCCCCACCUACUUGAUCUGACCCUGCCCACCGCCAUUCCUGCUAUUACCCCAUCUAUCGCUUCACUCCGGCUACACUGGCUGCCGUCAAGCUUGUCCCAUCGGACGGCCUUUGGAUCUGACAGCCCUCUGCCUGGAGUUUUCUGCCUGCCCCAGAUCUCUGCAGAGCUGACUCUUCCUUUAGGUGCUGGCUUACAUGUCACCUCAGAGAAGCUCACUGGACCACCCAUUCUAAAGUUGUUUCUUGGACACACUCUUAACACCUGCUUUAUUCUGUUAUUACUUCUUCAUAGUAUAGAUCGCCAUUUGAUUUGUCAUCUAUAACCACUAUCUGCUCACUGCACACCCGCCCGAGGAUGUAAACUUUGGUAGCCCUACCCACUGCUGUACAACUGGGACUUAGGACAGUGCCUCAACACCUGAAGGCACUCAAUAAAUAUUUUUUGAAUGAA